rnacentral:rRNA from 1 species
CUCGAAAGCAUGGGUAGCGAACAGGAUUAGAUACCCUGGUAGUCCAUGCCGUAAACGAUGAUUACUAAGUGUUGGAGGGUUUCCGCCCUUCAGUGCUGCAGCUAACGCAUUAAGUAAUCCGCCUGGGGAGUACGACCGCAAGGUUGAAACUCAAAAGAAUUGACGGGGGCCCGCACAAGCGGUGGAGCAUGUGGUUUAAUUCGAAGCUACGCGAAGAACCUUACCAGGUCUUGACAUCUUCUGACAGUCUAAGAGAUUAGAGGUUCCCUUCGGGGACAGAAUGACAGGUGGUGCAUGGUUGUCGUCAGCUCGUGUCGUGAGAUGUUGGGUUAAGUCCCGCAACGAGCGCAACCCUUAUUACUAGUUGCCAGCAUUAAGUUGGGCACUCUAGUGAGACUGCCGGUGACAAACCGGAGGAAGGUGGGGACGACGUCAAAUCAUCAUGCCCCUUAUGACCUGGGCUACACACGUGCUACAAUGGAUGGUACAACGAGUCGCGAGACCGCGAGGUUAAGCUAAUCUCUUAAAACCAUUCUCAGUUCGGACUGUAGGCUGCAACUCGCCUACACGAAGUCGGAAUCGCUAGUAAUCGCGGAUCAGCAUGCCGCGGUGAAUACGUUCCCGGGCCUUGUACACACCGCCCGUCACACCAUGAGAGUUUGUAACACCCAAAGCCGGNGGGGUAACCUUUUAGGAGCUAGCCGUCUAAGGUGGGACCAGAUGAUUA